ACAUGUGGUCUAGUGGGUAGGAUUCGUGGGUUUCACCCAAGCAGCCCGGGUUCGAUUCCCGGCCGAUGCA